UGCCAGCAGCCGCGGUAAUACGAAGGGUGCAAGCGUUAAUCGGAAUUACUGGGCGUAAAGCGCGCGUAGGCGGUUUGAUAAGUUGGAUGUGAAAGCCCAGGGCUCAACCUUGGAACUGCAUUCAAAACUGUCAGGCUAGAGUACGGUAGAGGGGGGUAGAAUUCCACGUGUAGCGGUGAAAUGCGUAGAGAUGUGGAGGAACACCGGAGGCGAAGGCGGCCACCUGGACCGGUACUGACGCUGAGGCGCGAAAGCGUGGGGAGCAAACAGGAUUAGAUA
rnacentral:rRNA from 1 species